GACGAACGCUGGCGGCGUGCUUAACACAUGCAAGUCGAACGGAAAGGCCCUGCUUUUGUGGGGUGCUCGAGUGGCGAACGGGUGAGUAACACGUGAGUAACCUGCCCUUGACUUUGGGAUAACUUCAGGAAACUGGGGCUAAUACCGGAUAGGAGCUCCUGCUGCAUGGUGGGGGUUGGAAAGUUUCGGCGGUUAGGGAUGGACUCGCGGCUUAUCAGCUUGUUGGUGGGGUAGUGGCUUACCAAGGCUUUGACGGGUAGCCGGCCUGAGAGGGUGACCGGCCACAUUGGGACUGAGAUACGGCCCAGACUCCUACGGGAGGCAGCAGUGGAGAAUAUUGCACAAUGGGCGGAAGCCUGAUGCAGCAACGCCGCGUGCGGGAUGACGGCCUUCGGGUUGUAAACCGCUUUCGCCUGUGACGAAGCGUGAGUGACGGUAAUGGGUAAAGAAGCACCGGCUAACUACGUG
rnacentral:rRNA from 1 species